GAUGAACGCUGGCGGCGUGCCUAAUACAUGCAAGUCGAGCGAACGGACGAGAAGCUUGCUUCUCUGAUGUUAGCGGCGGACGGGUGAGUAACACGUGGAUAACCUACCUAUAAGACUGGGAUAACUUCGGGAAACCGGAGCUAAUACCGGAUAAUAUUUUGAACCGCAUGGUUCAAAAGUGAAAGACGGUCUUGCGGUAACUUAUAGAUGGAUCCGCGCUGCAUUAGCUAGUUGGUAAGGUAACGGCUUACCAAGGCAACGAUGCAUAGGCGACGGGAGAGGGUGAUAGGCCACACUGGAACUGAGACACGGUCCAGACUCCUACGGGAGGCAGCAGUAGGGAAUCUUCCGCAAUGGGCGAAAGCCUGACGGAGCAACGCCGCGUGAGUGAUGAAGGUCUUCGGAUCGUAAAACUCUGUUAUUAGGGAAGAACAUAUGUGUAAGUAACUGUGCACAUCUUGACGGUACCUAAUAAGAAAGCCACGGCUAACUACGUG
rnacentral:rRNA from 1 species